UUGGGGUUCGAUUCAGAUUAAUGUCGUCUGCUUUCCUUAAGUAUCAAGUUCACCAGUUUCCAGAAACACCAGAAACAGACAAAGAGUGAAAGAUUUAUGCUGGACAAAAGACAUUCUUAAUUCUGUGUUUAAUUAGGCCAAUGAUUUGUAGACAAAGUUUAAUACUUAAGAGUUGUAAGAAAACGAAACAAUCGCUUUUUGGGGAAAAUGUCGUAGCUGCACGAAAAAUAGGGCAACUAAUUAAAUUACAAUUACAAAAAUGUGGCUGUCGUGUGUCACGGCUCUCCAUGCUCUCAACCCAAUGCUGUUUCUCUAUAAAAAAUAACUAAGAAUACAAAUAUUUGAGGCCUGAGCCAGCCAUCAUAACAGCACGAUAUUCAAAGUUUGACUGGUGUGCUGGUGUUGACGUUUUAUCAGCAACAAUCUCACCAUCAUUGCUUGGAUAAACAGCACCCCGUUGAAUUGGAGAAACUACUGUUGUCGACUGAAUUCUUCUUCUUUCUUUUAAUCCCCUCUGUCCUCGUGUACACCCAUGUGUGUGUGGUAGUAUUCACGAGGACCUCCUUUUUACCCUUUCCCGCCUGGUGAAUUCAAUUUUCCUUUGGAUGGAUGGAGCACCUGCUGUGGAUGCCUGGCCAUAUUUUCCGGGCUUAAAGGUAGGAAAAAUGAUUCUCUUUUCUUCCCUUUGAGUAUUAGAUAGCGUUGAUUUUGAAAUACGGAGUACAAAUUAUUCCUGAGCUAGGCGUCCGACUAAGACUGUCGGAGUGUCGGACUUGUCGUUUUUGUCGACUCAGUUAGGGUUCAUUUUGAAACUAAUUUUGAGAACAACAACUGCAGAUCAGGCUUGUUUUGUUUUGUACCUCACAACUUUUGUCUGUGGGUAAACCAAACUAUUUAAACUCUUUACACUUGAAGCAAAGUGCAGUAGGAAAUUCAAAGACCAACCGUGAAAUGCCGUAACGCGAGAGAAUUGUGAUGUCGCUCUGUAAUAUGCUGUGAUGUCUAUUACAUGGUUGUUGGAACCAUCAAGUAUGUUGUUGCCUGUAGGGGCAUUAUAUAGACGUGAGCUGAAGCCCAGCAGCACCUGCAUGUGCACUCCAGUCAAACAAUUCAAUUGUAUUCCACACGCAUCAGCUUUAAUAGAGUUUCUCAGUCUUUUUUAGUAUGAUGUAACAACCUCACGCCGACAAUGUCAAAAAAUGUUGUAGACCGAUCAAACCCAUUUUAUUUAAAUUUACUCAGAUAUAUAUUGCAUUUGAGUUUGGCGGACGAUGCAAAUAUUCAUGUUGGUCGCAUCUCACUGAUGUCCACUCGGCCUAUAUCAAAGUCUUUUAUACUUUUGAAGUGAAAACCAAAAGGAAAUGGAACUGACAAGGUUGCUGCUGGACGAGGGCUGUGGAGCAAGUUUCUUCGUAUUAUAACUGUUUGAAGCAAAUCCAGUUUUAACAAUCAAGAGACCCAAGGCAGACGUGAUGGAGCGUUGCGACAUUUUUAUAAACAAGGCUCUGAUUCCUAUAAUUGAAACGUUUUUAUGUGCAUGGUCCUUAUAGCGAUAAUCUCGUGGCCUUUCCCCCAGAGCAUUUGGAGUGGCGUAACUUAAAAAAAAGUUAACAAGGAA